rnacentral:rRNA from 1 species
AACGCUGGCGGCGUGCCUAAUACAUGCAAGUCGAGCGAGCUGAAUUCAAAGAUUCCUUCGGGAUGAUUUGUUGGACGCUAGCGGCGGAUGGGUGAGUAACACGUGGGCAAUCUGCCCUAAAGACUGGGAUACCACUUGGAAACAGGUGCUAAUACCGGAUAACAACAUGAAUCGCAUGAUUCAAGUUUGAAAGGCGGCGCAAGCUGUCACUUUAGGAUGAGCCCGCGGCGCAUUAGCUAGUUGGUGGGGUAAAGGCCUACCAAGGCAAUGAUGCGUAGCCGAGUUGAGAGACUGAUCGGCCACAUUGGGACUGAGACACGGCCCAAACUCCUACGGGAGGCAGCAGUAGGGAAUCUUCACAAUGGACGCAAGUCUGAUGGACAACGCCGCGUGAGUGAAGAAGGUCUUCGGAUCGUAAAGCUCUGUUGUUGGUGAAGAAGGAUAGAGGCAGUAACUGGGCUUUAUUUGACGGUAAUCAACCAGAAGUCCACGGCUAACUA